rnacentral:lncRNA from 1 species
CCAAGUCUGGCUGCGUGUCUGCUCCCUGGUCUUCUUAACUGCAUUGUGGUCCGUACUCCUGCUGCAGAAUAUGGAAGUCAAGAAAAGGCAGACUGGCAGCUUUCGUCUCACGUUGUUCUUGAAAAGCAGAAAAUACAGCGAAUGUUGAGCAGACAAAUUAAGCAGUUAUACAAACUGCCAUACAUGGGAUCCUCUUCAGAGCAUUUCUUUUCUCCCUUAAACAAAUUUUUACUGAAGGCAAUGUUGUAUUUGUGGAGUGAAAGCAGUUGGCAUCAAGUGAACUCUUUUAUUGCUGUGAUCAUGAACAACAACAGCACACAAAUGCAGCGCUCCUGUAUCUUCUCGGCCACUGCCGCAUGAGGGGACUCAAGGAAAAAAAGGACAUGACAUGAAUUCUGUCUGCACUAACAAGGACCAAUGUCCUGUGUGCUAAAACGGUAUCUUGGGUGAAUACCCAUGCCACACAAAACUAUAAUGCUCUCUUGUGCGUACAUAACAGGUAGCUCUGGUCUUCCUGAUCUACAAAGUGGUUUAGUGCUUUGUAGGUUUUUUUCUGCCUAGCCAUUGCUCUUAAGGACAUGCCUACCCAUGAUUGUUUGUUAUUAUAAAAAAAAAUAUUGUUUUAAUUAUGGUUUGGCUUAUUGAAUUACCUCUGCUGUAUCAGUUAUAUCCGUUUAAAUGAACUGAUUUACACCUGUCCAUUAUAAUUGGGCUUGUGGAAUUGUCACUAAUUAAUUUAGAGGAUGUUGUGUAAUUUGUAUAAAGCCUUUCGGAUUAAGAGUUAUUGAGAAAUAAACUGAAUUUUUCAUUUAUAUU